AUUUUACCUAAGUGCCACGGAUUGGAUUCAUCUCGCGAUCUCUAUUUCAUUAUAAAGUGAGAAGGAGCAUUACGAGAUCAAAGGGCGGACGCACCCCCAUUGAAGAGGCCUUGUUUUAUAUAAAGGAGAGUACGGACAAGAACUGUAUUCGAGCUAAUUUUAUAAAUGAUUUCAAAGAUCCCCUGUCUCCCUGGACUACAAUUCCCAUGAUCCUCCUGUUUCUUCACCUGCACUCACUUCCCUCGUCAUCUCCUAUCAUCACGGAUCACCUGCACCUGGACUCUAUUAUCAGCACCUCCUUUAUAUUGCACUCACUCCCUUCACUCCUCGUCCGUUCUCUGUUUUGUUAAAGUGUACGUUUGGUGUUCCUGCCCUGUGUUUAUUAAAGUAGUAUCUAUAUUUGUGGAAAUCCGUAUCUGCCUCAUCUCUACACCAGCUACCUGUAACAGAAGAACGGACCUAAACCCUGGAUUUCCACAAAGGAAUGGAGACUUUCCUCCGCUCCCUGGCUCCUGCUCCUCCGCCUCCCACUCCUCUGUCAACUGGCGAUCGCCUCAUCGGACUCCUGCAGGUUGGUCGUUUGCUGGAGAGGUAUGUGGAGGAGUUUGUUGAGCUCGCUUUUCUGUCUGACUGGCCUGAUGCUUGUUUAAUCUCCCUGUUUUUGGAUGGACUGGAUGACGACACUAUCCGUUUUGAUGAACCUGAUUAUCGUUUCUCCUUAAGCGAAACUAUCAAUUUAAUUU